CAAUGUUAAUAACACCUGUGAUCCUCCAGAAUUGUUGACAUCAUUUACAGUGGGCACUUAAUUGGAAUAAUGCUUAACACAAAACAGAUUGAUUCAGUCAAGAGGUGAUAAGCUUGGUAUAUAGUGUAUUUUUCUUCAAGCAAAAGAAGACUGGUGGAAGGGAACUGCAAAACUUAACCAAGCAUCAACAAGGAUUAUCAUCAUCAUUUCAGUUGAGAAAUUAUAGCUGUGAUAGACGGACAAGGAGAACUUCAGAAGAUAUGAACAUUUAAAAACUUUUUUGUACUCGUUGUAUCAGUUUUGAGGAAAACAUGUGUAACAAAACCAAGUAAAAAUAACCUA